AAACAAUAUGUACAGACCACCAAAUGAAUAAUAAGAAUGCCCUACUAUGCCCUAUCCCCACUAAACAUCAUUGUAUGGUCCCCAAAGAAAAAAAUAAAAAGGGAGCAGAGGAAGGUAAAGACUCUUUGUGGUAUACUAGGAACUCGGGUCCUUGUCGGUAGAUGGUCGUACUUCUCAAUAGGAGUGUCAUCAGAUUAGGCUCUUCUAAGUUGGUUUGCUACAAAGGAAAUUCAUCUUGGUUUGCACUUUCAAGCAUUGUUGGAUUCCUUUAGAGUUUUAUUUUUUUGUGCUUUUUUAGUUGUAGUUUGUGCCUUAUACUUAUCUAGAGUGGUGACCUUCUUAUCAUAUCGUAGCAAAUUUAUCCUUGGAGACAUACCUAUGAAAAAAGGAAAAUAUCAAAAUAAAAGCAAGAGAAAAAGAAUAAAACAUGUUUUCUGAUUUUCAUAUAUUAAGAAAGAAAAUAAAGCAAAAGAAAAAUGAAGGUGGAUGAAAGGUAACUUCAUCAUAGGAUUUUUUCAUCACAACACUCAACUAUUUGGACUCUACGUUGUCACACAUAUCAACAUUCUAGCUCAUAAAACAUCAAUAACCCCCCAUGGAAACAAGAAUGACCUAAUAUGCUUAAGAAUGGCGUCACCCAAUCUAUUAUAAGUCAAGGCAAGUAUUCAUGUCUCCCAAAUUACUUAGACUUCACCGCUGGGUUCUAUGUUUAGUAAAGUGACUAAAAAAAACUAUGGAUGCCAAAUUUCUCCACAAACUAUCCACAAAAUCUCACCUAAAUUAAAUUCAAAAGAAAAAACAUCAUGUUAUAUAAAGCACCAUUUCUACUUUUAACAGAAUUCAAAGUUCAUACCUUUAACUUGAUUAAAGAGAGGAGAAAAAUGAAAUAAAUAUUUAAUUCAAGUAUCUAGGGCUUUAAUUCUUAUUAUAAAAAUUUAAAAUUUUACUUAUCAAGAAGGAGAAAGUUUUUAGAUGUCAAAAUGUGACAAACGAUCCAAAACCAGUGCAUUAGGUGAGUAGUAUGCACCUGGAUUGCUCAAGCAGGUCUAGCAUAGGUCAAAACAGAACCAACCACUAUUUUUUUGGAUUACCUUCACUUUAGUUGCACUUUUCCUGUGCCUGUACUACUCAAGCAUGUCUAGGACAGGUCUAAGAAAUGUUGUUGCUACCAUCUGGGUGUCAUAUGCUCUUGGUCUAUGCUUGGACUACUCAAGCAUGUCUAGUGCAUGUCCAAGAAGUGAUACUUCCUUCAAAAUCAUUCUAGCUGUGCAUGGUCUAUGCCUAGACUGCUCAACCGUAGCCUAUGUAGGUCCAGACUAAGGAUAUCCCAUUUGUAAGAAAUAUUGGCCCGAGUCACAGUUUUAGGCCCCCAAACCUUCCUUCAUAUAUCCUGACUUAUGAUAUCACCUGCAAACACAAAAAAUAAGUUAAAAUUUAGACUAAAAACAUUAGAAGAAAACAAUAAAAAACCUUAGGUUGCAUCCCAAGAUACCCCUUAUUUAUGUCUUGGCAUAACAUCAACUGGUCAUCAUUUUACAUCCUUGAAUCGAGGCCACUCAACCAUAGUCACUCUGAAUCCACCCACGUGGUAAUGCCUCAAUCCUUCUCCAUUCACCAAAAAACUUCUUCUUUUUAUGGUCUUUUGAUUGAAUUUUCAUUUGAAUAGACAUUAUAGACCAUAAAUGGGCCUGACCACUUAGUUUUAGGAUUUCCUACGAAAUGUUUCAACCUAUUGUUCAAGAGGAGAACAUAUUCACACUGUAAAAUUUUUUGUUCAAUGUCUUAAUGUCAUGCCACCUCUUCUUUUUAGAUUUACUUAGGGAACAACCCCUUUUAAGUUCGCUAUGGGCCGCCCAAUAACAUGAAUGAACUUUUCCACUAUGGAUUUUGAGGCUUUCAUUUUCCAAGGUGAUAGAUCAUCCACAACAACGGUUGGCAAAGUGUUGUCCUUACAAGGGUUUCUAUUGUAAUAUCCAAGACUCAUUGUCAAAAUAAUCACCUCGUCCUUUUUUUAAAUCACCUCACUCUAUAAAUUUUAUAAUAUACCCACCAAGGAGUCAUCCAUAAGGUUUGAAUUUAAGGUGUUAGUCACCUCAUCAUCAACUAUAUCAAUCAGAGAAAAAACUUGCAAAUCCUUAGGUUGUUUCAUAAACUUACACACAUUGAAAGAGACCUCUUAAUUAUUUAAUCAAAACUUUCUGUCACCACAUUCAACAUUAACUAUGGCUCUUGUGAUAGCCAAUAAUAUCCUACCAAUAAUGAUAGGGACUUGUUGAUCCAUCUCCCAAUCAAGAAUAACAAUGUUGGACAAAAAUACGAACCAGUCCACUAUUAUAAGAAUAUCACAUAGAACUCCCACGAGCUUCUUGAUAGAAUAGUCGGUCAUUAAAAGCCUCAUUGUGGUUAGUGUAGGGAAACCUAAACCUAACAUUUGAAACAUGAAAAAUGUCAUAAAAUUAAUGCUUUUCCUAAGAUCACACAAUGCUUUUUCAAACUUGUGCACCCCAAUAGUGCAAGGAAUAGUGAAUGCACGCGGGUCUUCCUUCUUCACCAUCAUUUAUGCUAGACAUUAUAUCACUAAAAUUAUGAGUUACCUCUAUAAUUUCAACAUUCAUGACUCAUUUCUUUGUUAUCAAGUUAUUCAUGAAUUUAGCAUAUUCGAACAUCUCUUGUAAAGCUUCUAAUAAUGGAAUAUUCACUAAUA
rnacentral:lncRNA from 1 species